GAAAACAUCAGAUGCAGUGUCUGGAUCAGCUCUAAGGAUUUGGCAGAUUGGUUCCCCUCAUGAUUCAGGAUGAAGUAAUUCAAGUCUUUGUUCACCAAGAGAUUACCCUGCACACCUGGGAAUUGAGUGGAGGGUGAAAGAGUCCCUCUUCUUCUGUUGAAUAUACAGAUCCAUAACACAGUAAUAGGAGCAUCUGACUGGGAGCGGAAGACCUGAGUUCUGCUCUCUGCUCCCCACUUCCUAAAAUUUUUGGUAAACAGGCCCCAAUUACAA